rnacentral:piRNA from 1 species
UAACAAGGUGACCUGAGGAAGCAGAUCUC